rnacentral:rRNA from 1 species
AGAGUUUGAUCCUGGCUCAGGAUGAACGCUGGCGGCAUGCCUAAUACAUGCAAGUCGAACGAGAGGAAGGAAAGCUUGCUUUCCUGAAUCUAGUGGCGAACGGGUGAGUAACACGUAGGUAACCUGCCCAUGUGCCCGGGAUAACUUCUGGAAACGGAUGCUAAAACCGGAUAGGUAGCAGACAAGCAUUUGACUGCUAUUAAAGUGGCCUUGGCCAUGAACAUGGAUGGACCUGCGGUGCAUUAGCUGGUUGGUGAGGUAACGGCCCACCAAGGCGACGAUGCAUAGCCGGCCUGAGAGGGCGGACGGCCACAUUGGGACUGAGACACGGCCCAAACUCCUACGGGAGGCAGCAGUAGGGAAUUUUCGUCAAUGGGGGGAACCCUGAACGAGCAAUGCCGCGUGAGUGAGGAAGGUCUUCGGAUCGUAAAGCUCUGUUGUAAGAGAAAAACGGCACUCAUAGGGAAUGAUGAGUGAGUGAUGGUAUCUUACCAGAAAGUCACGGCUAACUACGUGCCAGCAGCCGCGGUAAUACGUAGGUGGCGAGCGUUAUCCGGAAUGAUUGGGCGUAAAGGGUGCGUAGGUGGCAGAUCAAGUCUGGAGUAAAAGGUAUGGGCUCAACCCGUACUGGCUCUGGAAACUGAUCAGCUAGAGAACAGAAGAGGACGGCGGAACUCCAUGUGUAGCGGUAAAAUGCGUAGAUAUAUGGAAGAACACCGGUGGCGAAGGCGGCCGUCUGGUCUGGAUUCUGACACUGAAGCACGAAAGCGUGGGGAGCAAAUAGGAUUAGAUACCCUAGUAGUCCACGCCGUAAACGAUGAGAACUAGGUGUUGGGGGAAUAACUCAGUGCCGCAGUUAACGCAGUAAGUUCUCCGCCUGGGGAGUAUGCACGCAAGUGUGAAACUCAAAGGAAUUGACGGGGGCCCGCACAAGCGGUGGAGUAUGUGGUUUAAUUCGACGCAACGCGAAGAACCUUACCAGGUCUUGACA